UACGUAGGGUGCAGGCGUUAAUCGGAAUUACUGGGCGUAAAGCGUGCGCAGGCGGUUUGCUAAGACAGGUGUGAAAUCCCCGGGCUUAACCUGGGAACUGCGCUUGUAACUGGCAAGCUAGAGUGUGGCAGAGGGGGGUGGAAUUCCACGUGUAGCAGUGAAAUGCGUAGAGAUAUGGAGGAACACCGAUGGCGAAGGCAGCCCCCUGGGCUAACACUGACGCUCAUGCACGAAAGCGUGGGGAGCAAACAGG
rnacentral:rRNA from 1 species